UACGAAGGGGGCUAGCGUUGCUCGGAAUUACUGGGCGUAAAGGGAGCGUAGGCGGAUAGUUUAGUCAGAGGUGGAAGCCCAGGGCUCAACCUUGGAAUUGCCUUUGAUACUGGCUAUCUUGAGUACGGAAGAGGUAUGUGGAACUCCGAGUGUAGAGGUGAAAUUCGUAGAUAUUAGGAAGAACACCGGUGGCGAAGGCGGCCCACUGGUCCGGUACUGACGCUGAGGUGCGAAAGCGUGGGGAGCAAACAGG
rnacentral:rRNA from 1 species